UAAAUUCUGUCGAAUACCGCUAGCAUAGCUAGACCAAAUACCGUCUAUAGCAUCCUCACCGACUGGUAAAUUAAGAACAGCUCGCUCUACUGCAAAUUUAACAUAAAGAAAUGGAAGCGUACCAUGCUCAAACGCUCUCCUACACAUCAUGUUACCAAUUUCUUGGCGACCAUUUUUUGUUACUCUGGGUAGAGUAAAAGGGGCACAAAUCAGAACACAGUAGACACGAACUUGAUGAUCUUCCAAAAGACAUUCGACACAUUCCGUAGUAAUAAGAUCAAGCAAUCCAUAAUUGAUUACAACUUGGUUACCAUUAGCUUCAGUUGGUAUGUUCGCUGCAGGGCUUUCUAGCAGAACAACAGGUAAAUGCUCGCUAUUUACGAAGAUAUCAAAAGCAGAACAGUCAAAAACUUUGGACACCUUUCUCAUGAUAGUGUUUACUAGAUGGGACGUAUAAUGAUGAAAGAAUAUAGUAUCCUGUUUGCCAUUAUCAACCCACUCAACUUUUUGUUGAAGACGAUCCUCGUAAAGACCAAGAACAUAUACUUUACCCUUGCGAAUAAAUCCAAGCAAACCAGUCCUUAAAAACUCUUGGUUAGAUGGGAUCGGUUGAAAAGUAUCAGAGGAAAUAAAGCUGGUCCUAGCAUGAAAAAUUGCUUCAGUUUGUUUAGGAAGAGCAAAAAACCCACCCGAGAGUGAUGGCGAGUCAACCCAAAUUUCGCCAACUAUGUUAGGCAAGCAAAGGACUUGAGUCUCUGGGUCAACAAUUGCGAGA